GACGGAGGGGGCUAGCGUUGUUCGGAAUGACUGGGCGUAAAGGGCGCGUAGGCGGUGUUUUAAGUGAGGCGUGAAAGCCCUGGGCUUAAGCCAGGAAUUGCGUUUCAGACUGAAAGACUGGAGUACGAGAGAGGAAAGUGGAAUUCCUAGUGUAGAGGUGAAAUUCGUAGAUAUUAGGAAGAACUCCAGUGGCGAAGGCGGCUUUCUGGCUCGUAACUGACGCUGAGGCGCGAAAGCGUGGGGAGCAAACAGG
rnacentral:rRNA from 1 species